UACGUAGGGUGCAAGCGUUGUCCGGAAUUAUUGGGCGUAAAGAGCGUGUAGGCGGCCCGAUUAGUCCGCUGUGAAAGUCCAGGGCUCAACCCUGGAAUGCCGGUGGAAACUGUCGGGCUAGAGUCCGGAAGAGGCGAGUGGAAUUCCUGGUGUAGCGGUGGAAUGCGCAGAUAUCAGGAGGAACACCAAUAGCGAAGGCAGCUCGCUGGGACGGUACUGACGCUGAGGUGCGAAAGCGUGGGGAGCGAACAGG
rnacentral:rRNA from 1 species